CGAAAUGCGCACGGGAGCCCCGGCCGGCCGAUUCGGCGACGCGGGGCUGAGAGGAGGGCACGGCACGCGCCCUCGACCGUAGGAACCUGUCCGGGUCAUGCCGGCGAAGGAAGCGAUGGAGGUCGUCAC
rnacentral:ncRNA from 1 species